rnacentral:lncRNA from 1 species
CACAAAUAUUUUCUUUUUAUAUCUCUAUUCUAUAGGCCUUUUUAUAUUUUUAAAUUUUUAUUUUGUUUACUUUUUAAGCUUUUUUGUUAAAAACAAAGACAUACACACAGUCACGCAAUACUUUUGACACCAGCUGUCAAAAGUGUAGCCUAGACCUACACAGGGUCAGGAUCAUCAAUAUUGUCUUCCAUCUCCACAUCUUGUCCCACUGGAAGGUCUGAUUCAUAUCGGACUUUUCUUCAGCAACAAUACAUGUCAGAAGCUAAAUGUGUUGCGAGGUAAUAACUGGCAACUUAAAAUUCUAUACUUUGAUAAGUGGAGACAGCAAAUAUCUAGCUGUUUUGCUUCUCUAGUGGGAGGAUACAUCUGCCUCUCAUCAAUACUCCUGUGAUGGGAAAUUACCAAAACAUAGUAGGGGGAUUCAGAUGGUGGACAUGUAAUAGAAGCGAACAGGGGUCUGCUUGCCUGGCGCAGUAAAACCAGAUAUUCACACUGAGGCUGUGCAGCGGUAGAAGGAAAGGCAUUUAUUUGCAGGGGCUCUAAGCAAGGAGGACCAAACAGCUAAUCCUCAAAUCCUGACAUUCCUGAUGGCUUGGAGGUCAGGGUUUUUAAAGGCAGGGGUAAAUUUCAGGAAAACAGCAGUUACAGACAAAAUCGUACAUCAGUACACGGAGGCUACACUUUGGUUUUGGCUUGAAAGGGCAGGAUAUCUUGAAGUAGGGACUUACAGGUCAUAGAUGCAAAGAGAGGAGACGUUUUAUGCAAAAAUUUAGGGUUGGCGGAAAAGAAUGUUAGCUCUGGCUAAUGGGUGUGACUCCCUCUAAGCCUCUCAGGAAAAAUUUAGAACAAAGAAUGGUGAUUGGAGUUCAGUCCUCAGUUUCCCCUUAUCUGAGGUCUCUGUGCCAGCAGAUCCAUUUGGUGGGGGUCUGGGUUUCUGUAAACAGCUCAGGGACAUAUGUUAAGAUAAAAUGUUAUCUUUAGUUUCUAUAGGGGAACCAACCAUAUCCUGACUCUAACUUCCUUGGCUAUUGUUUCAGGCUACUAUUCUUCUUGCUUAUCAAGUUGUUUACUUCUCAAGGCUAGUUGGGUGCCUGGAAUUUCCCUUCAAGGAACUCAAGAUUUUCCUUUAUUUCCCGGCUUGGAGGUCCGCAAUCCCCUAAAAACGGGAUUCCUGCUCCAUCUCAUAUACUCCAGAACAAAAACAAAUAUCUACCACAAUCCUUUGCUCCAUCAACAAAAAAGUGAUAAUAGUUAAGCCUAGAGCCAUGAGAGGCCUGUGCUCCGUGGGACAGGAGGCUAAGAGCGGAACAGGGCCCACUGUUGGAUGCUACUGAUCACCAGACUGUGGCCUUUAUACACAUCAACUUGCUUCAUCUCCACCAGAACAAAUGAAUGACAAAACCCGAUGAAAGACAAAGCCAGAGUAAAUCCCUUCUCAUCUAUGUCACGGCAAAAGAUAUAGUAACAGCAAAAACAAGCUCUAAAAACCUUGUUUGUAAAAGGUUUGGUAAAACUGUUUCUUUAAAGAUAUUCCAUCAUUUGGACUUUAAUUUUGCUAGGCUCUCCCUACCCCACCAAAUUGUUAUUUCAUAUAAAAUAAUUGGACGAGGCCGGGCGCAGUGGCUCACGCCUGUAAUCCCAGCACUUUGGGAGGCUGAGGCAGGCGGAUCACCUGAGGUCAGGAGUUCGAGACCAGCCUGACCACCAUGGAGAAACCCCACCUCUACUAAAAAUACAAAAUUAGUCGGGCCUGGUGACACACUUGUAAUCCCAGCUACUCGGGAGGCUGAGGCAGGAGAAUUGCUUGAACCGGGGAGGUGGAGGUUUCGGAGAGCCGAGAUCGCUCCAUUGCCCUCCAGCCUGGGUAACAAGAGCGAAACUCCUUCUCAGAUAAAUAAAUAAUUGGACAAAAUUAUCUCACCUUUGUUCAAUUGGCUUUCUGUUCUACCUUAAAAAAUAGAAAUUAAUUAAUUAAUUGUGAUAAAAAUAGCUGCAUAUUAUUGAGCCUUUUUUGUAUUGGUCAAUAGCCUGAAAUGUCCAUAUGUGAUACAGCUGAAGCCUAAUAGGAAAACAAUUACUAACAUUUCGGAGUUGGAACAGACCUGCUGGUCGUGACUCCAGUAUUUGUACAUCAUGAUGAGGAAAUUGUGGCCAGAGAUAUUAGGACUUGUCCAAGUCUCCAAACUGAGACUCAAGGGCCAUAUUCCAUUUUCCUCGGCUCAUGGCUUUCCACUGAACUUCAAAAGAGGCUCCAGUACCAGUCCUAAGAAUCAUCAGUGGCCUUAGAAUAGUCUGGAGGAAUUACUUCAGACUGUUCCUCUGAACUGGGACACAGCAAAUGGAAUAAAAUACUGGCUCCUAGGACAAACAGAGAAAGUAGCUCUCAAUCACAGCCCUCUUUCAAAAACCUUUAGUUUAAAAACUAAAGAAAUAGAUACAUGAAGUAGCCAAAGAACCAUAAGCUUUUAAAAACUUAGAAGCCAUUUCUUUAUUUCAAAAAAUUUUUCAGACAGUUCUCAAGCAUAAUCACAUCUCAGAGGUUGUAGACAUUGCACCUGGUACCCAUCUCAACAUCAUUAAUCUCUUUACCGGAUAUAUACAUAUAUAUAUAUAUAUAUAUACACACACACACACACACAUAUACACACAUAUACAUAUACAUAUAUAUACACACACACACAUAUAUACAUAUACAUAUACAUAUACAUAUACAUAUAACAUUUUAGUGGAUGCGACUAACAGCACCAUGGCUACUCUGCCACACAAGGUUUAUUCUUUUUCAAGUAUGGAAGAGAAUAUCAAGUGACUGAUUACCAAGCUGUAGAAGCCAAUAUCCUUUUCAAAAAACAAGAUUGCUCUCUUGCCAUACUCAAAGGCUUGACUUUCAGAGAAUGGUGUAUCAUCCAUUGGUGGUUAAAAAUUGUGACAGAACCUUUCAGUCAGUCACAAAAAAAUUUCCAAAGGGAUGUCCCAUACAUUUUGCUACUGUUGCCCAGGCUGGAGUGCAGUGGCGCAAUCACAGCUCACUGAAGCCUUGGACCAUGUGGGCUCAGCUGAUCCUCCCUCUUCAGCCUCCCAUGUAGCUGGGACUACAGGCAGGUGCACGCCACUACGCCUGGCUAAUUUUUUGCAUUUUUUGUAGAGAUGGGGUUUCACCAUGUUGCUCAGGCUAGUCUCAAACUCUUGAGCUCAAGGGAUCUGCCUGUCUUGGCCCGAAGUCCUGGGAUUACAGAUGUCAGCCACUAAGCUUUGCCACAUUUUGCUACUCUUGCUCUGCAUUUUUAAGGCACUUCCCUCCAUUGUUAAUUCAUUUCCCUGUAUUCGAUCUUUGAAUGUUAAUUGUUAGAAGCUAUUGUUACUAAGAUAAAGAAGACAUGGACCUUCUCUUAAGAAGCUCUUAGUCUAUUGUGAUGAUUCUCCAAAUUUAGUGAGCAUGAAAAUCAUCUGAAGAGUGAUAUAAAACAGAUCUGCACUUUAUAAAAUAACCCCGGGUCAUUCUGAUACAGGUGGUUCCCAGGCUCCAUUUCUAAACCCACUGGUCUGGAGGGAGAGAAAGCAUUUCCUUUGAUCAUUGGAAUUCUAACCAUCCUUCAGGGCCAGUCCCAGUGGAACUUUCCAUGUUGACUUAGUCAUCACCCAUUUUCUUUCCUUCUCUAGCACUUAAUCUGUGUCUUUCUCAGAACACUGAACACCCCUUCCCCAGUUUCUAUCUUGUACUGUAGGUCCUUUCUAGAAUGCCCUGUCUAAGCUACUGGUCUUCUGGAUAGGUAAUCUAGACUGUGUCUGAUCCGACUUUGCAUUCUCUGCAGCAUGUGGCACAGUGCCCACAUAUACUUAUUAUAUAAGUCAUGCUUGUUGAAUGAAGGGAUCUGUCUCUAAAUGGAGAGUUGUAUUUUUAAAGUGGACCUGUGAUAUAUAAUAAUGUAUUGUGAUCCUAAAUGUCUCAAAAUGGAGUCACUUAUGACAAGUAACUCAACCCACAGUAAAAUUGCCAACCCCUCAAAGUGAUACGCAUACGUAUGGUGGAUCGUGAUGAUAAGAUAAUACCUGCUGUGGCCAGGCACUACCCCACCAAGACCCAGCAAGAAAGGGAAGCCAAAAGGUGGCUGAGCUAAUGACCAUGAACUCUCCUGGGGAGGGCCAUAAAACUGCAAAGAAACUAACCAUGGCAAAGAAGCUUGAAGAAGCUCUGUCUGUGAGAACUCUGAAGCCUCCUUUAGUCUGGCAGUGGAAGCUCUGCUGGGUCCUCCCAGUAGAGGAUUCACGUGGUUUCUUCCUCCUCUUUCUUAUUAUGACCUAUGUGUGUUACAUGUAUUUGCAUAGUUAUUGGUGUAUGAAAGCCUUGCAAUAAACCUUUGAAAGCAUUUAAUUAGCCAUUAUUGAGUCAUUGUGAAACCUCCCACAGUGUUAAAGUAAGCACAGCUAGGCUGACUGGAACCUGAC